rnacentral:rRNA from 1 species
GGGAUGCAUGGGCGCAGCCUGAUGCAGCGACGCCGCGUGAGUGAUGAAGGCCUUCGGGUUGUAACGCUCUUUUGCCGGGGACGAUGAUGACGGUACCCGGAGAUAACCCCGGCUAACUCCGUGCCAGCAGCCGCGGUAAUACGGAGGGGGCUAGCGUUGU